rnacentral:rRNA from 1 species
GAUGAACGCUGGCGGCGUGCCUAAUACAUGCAAGUCGAGCGAACGGACGAGAAGCUUGCUUCUCUGAUGUUAGCGGCGGACGGGUGAGUAACACGUGGAUAACCUACCUAUAAGACUGGGAUAACUUCGGGAAACCGGAGCUAAUACCGGAUAAUAUUUUGAACCGCAUGGUUCAAAAGUGAAAGACGGUCUUGCUGUCACUUAUAGAUGGAUCCGCGCUGCAUUAGCUAGUUGGUAAGGUAACGGCUUACCAAGGCAACGAUGCAUAGCCGACCUGAGAGGGUGAUCGGCCACACUGGAACUGAGACACGGUCCAGACUCCUACGGGAGGCAGCAGUAGGGAAUCUUCCGCAAAGGGCGAAAGCCUGACGGAGCAACGCCGCGUGAGUGAUGAAGGUCUUCGGAUCGUAAAACUCUGUUAUUAGGGAAGAACAUAUGUGUAAGUAACUGUGCACAUCUUGACGGUACCUAAUCAGAAAGCCACGGCCAACUACGUG